UAGGGAAUCUUCCACAAUGGACGCAAGUCUGAUGGAGCAACGCCGCGUGAGUGAAGAAGGUUUUCGGAUCGUAAAGCUCUGCUGUUGGUGAAGAAGGAUAGAGGCAGUAACUGGUCUUUAUUUGACGGUAAUCAACCAGAAAGUCACGGCUAACUACGUUCCAGCAGCCGCGGUAAUACGUAGGUGGCAAGCGUUGUCCGGAUUUAUUGGGCGUAAAGCGAGCGCAGGCGGAAUGAUAAGUCUGAUGUGAAAGCCCACGGCUCAACCGUGGAACUGCAUCGGAAACUGUCAUUCUUGAGUGCAGAAGUGGAGAGUGGAAUUCCAUGUGUAGCGGUGGAAUGCGUAGAUAUAUGGAAGAACACCAGUCGCGAAGGCGGCUCUCUGGUCUGCAACUGACGCUGAGGCUCGAAAGCAUGGGUAGCGAACAGG
rnacentral:rRNA from 1 species